AAAAUGACUCUUGGGAACAGAUAUCUCGGCUCUCACAUCAAUGAAGAACGUAGUAAAAUGUGAUACUUGGUGUGAAUUGAAAAUCCCAUGAACCAUAGAGUAUUUGAACGUAAGUUGCGCCAGAAGCCAUUAGGCCGAGGGAACAUCUACCUAGGCGUCACGCAUUGCAUCGCCCCCAUCGCAUCGUGCCUCAAUCACAGGGCUCGCUGUUGUUGUGGGGUGGAUACUGGCCUCCCAUGCACCUCGAGCUCGUGGCUGGCCUAAAUGCGAGUCACGUCGAUGGACAUCACGGCAAGUGGUGGUUGUAUCUCAACUCUCUUUGUUGUCGUGGCUAUAGCUCAUUGCACGUCCGAACUCCAGGACCCUUUCACGCUUAGGCACUCCGACCGCGACCCCAGGUCAGGCAGGGUUAUUCGCUGAGUUUAAGCAUAUCAAUAAGAAGAAUAAAAGAAACAUACAAGGAUUCCCUUAGUAACGGUGAGCGAACUGGGAAUAGCCCAUCCUUAGAAUAUGGCGGCUCUGUCACCCGAAUUGUAGUUUGGAGAAGUGUCCUCAGCGGUGGACCGGGUCCAAGUCCCCUGGAAGGGGGCGCCAAAGAGGGUGAGAGCCCCAUUGUACCUGGACCCUGUCGCACCAUAAGGCACUGUCUAUGAGUCGGGUUGUUUGGGAAUGCAGCCCAAAUUGGGCGGUGAAUUCCGUCCAAGGCUAAAUACGGGCGACAGAACGAUAGCGAACAAGUACCACGAGGGAAAGAUGAAAAGGACUUUGAAAAGAGAGUCAAAGAGUUCUUGAAAUUAUCGGUAGAGAAGUGGAUAGGGGCCAGUUAUAUGCUCUGAUCGGAUAUUGAAUGGUGACGAGCCGAUCCAACGAUUGACUUGGGGCAUGGACCAGCGUGGAUUGGGGUGGCGGCCAAAGUGUGGGCUCUCGAUAUGCUCGUGGAAUGCCAUUUCCUCGAUUGUGGUAGGCAGCGCGUGCCUCCGGCAUGCUUUGGCAUCUGCGCGCUAAAGACACUGGCCUGUGGGCUCCCUAUUUGACCUAUCUUGAAAAAUAGACCAAGGAGUCUGACAUGUGUGUGAGUCAAUGGGCGAGUAAACCCGUAAGGCGUAAGGAAGCUGAUUGGUGGUAUCCCCCCGAGGGGUGCACCACCGACCGACCUUGAUCUUCUGAGAAGGGUUCGAGUGUGAGCUUACCUGUCGGGACCUAAAAGAUGGUUAACUAUGCCUGAGCGGGGCAAAGCUAGAGGAAACUCUGGUAGAGGCCCACAACGUACUGACGUGCAAAUCAUUCGUCUGACUUGGGUAUAGGGUCCGCGACUGCUUUGUCGAGCCGUGCCACAGAAUUAAGAGCUCCAAGUGGCCGAUUUUUGGUAAGAAUAACUGGCGAUUCGGGAUGAAAUGAAAGCUGGGUUAUGGUGCCAAGCUAAGUGCUAACCUAGAUCCCACAAAGGGUGUUGGUCGAUUAAGACCGCAGAACGGUGGACAUGGAAGUCAAAAUCCGCUAAGAAUUAUGCAAUAACUCACCUGCCAAAUAAACUAGCCCCGAAAAUAUAUGGCGCUUAAGCGCGGGACCUACACCCGUCCGUCGGGGAAAGUUCCAGGCCCCGAUGAGUAGGAGAGCGCGGCGGUCACUGGAAAACCUUGGGCGCGAGCUCUAGUAGAGUGGCCAAAGGUGUAGAAAUUGGUGGUAGUAGUAAAUAUUCAAAUAAGAACCUUGAAGGCCGAAGAGCGGAAAGGUUCUAUGUGAACGGAAUUGCACAUGGAUUAGUCGACCCUAAGGGUUGGGGGAACCCCAACAGAUAGUGCUUUUCACGGGUACUCCAAAAGAGAAUCAAGUUAAAAUUCCUGGAACAGGACGUGGCGGUCGACGGAAACGUUAGGAAGUCCAGAGACGUUGGCGGGAGCCUCAGGAAGAGUUAUCUUUUCUGUUUAACAACCUGCCCACCCUGGAAUCAACUCAGCCAAAGGUAGGGUCCAGCGGCUGAAAGAGCACCGCACGUCGCGUGGUGUCCUGUACACUACCGGCGGCCCUUGAAAAUCAAGAGGACCGAAUGCCGUCCACAACCGGUCGUACUCAUAACCACAUCAGGUAUGAGAGGGGAACAACCUCUGGUCGAUGGAAUAAUAUAGGCAAGGAAAGUCUGCAAAAAUGGAUCAAUAACAUCUGGAAAAGGAUUGGCACUGAGGGCUGGGCAUGGGGUUCCCAGUCCCGAACCCGUCGGCUGUUGGUGGACUGCUCGAGAUGCUUCCACAGUGAUAGUGGGUCACCGCGUGCCAGCCGGGGGAAGGACUAGGAACGGUUCCUUUGGGGGCCUUCCUCGCAUGUCAAAUAGCCAACUCAAAACUGGUACGGACAAGGGGAAUCUGACUGUUUAAUUAAAAGAAAGCAUUGCUAUGGUCCCAACGGAUGUUCACGCAUUGUGAUUUCUGUCCAGUGCUCUGAAUGUCAAAGUGAAGAAAUUCAACCAAGCGCGGGUAAAGGUUGGUAGUAACUAUGACUCUCUUAAGGUAGCCAAAUGCCUAAUCAUCUAAUUAGUGACGCGCAUGAAUGGAUUAACGAGAUUCCGACCAUCCCUGUCUACUAUCCAGUGAAACCACAACCAAGGGAAUGGGCUAGGCAGAAUCAAUGGUGAAAGAAGACCCUUUUUAGCUUGGCUCUACUCCGACUUUGUGAAAUAACUUGAGAGGUGUAGUAUAAGUGCACUGCCCCUCUUUUUGGACCCAAGGCUCGCUCUACGGGCCGAUCUGGGUGGAAUACAUUUUUAGGUGGGGAGUUUGGCUAGGGUGGCACAUCUGUUAAAAGAUAAUGCAGGUGUUCUAAGAUGAGAUCAACGAGAACAGAAAUAUCCUGUGAAAUAGAAUGGUAAAAGAUUGUUUGGUUGUGAUUUCCAAUACGAAUAUGAACCAUGAAAGCGUUCUCUAACGAUCCUUUAGACCUUCAGAAUUCGAAACUAGAGGUGCAAAAAAAGAGUUACCAUUGGGAUAACUGGCAUGUUGCAGCCAAGCGUUCAUAGGGACGUUGCUUUUUCAUCCUUCGAUGUCGGCUCUUCCUAUCAUUGUGAAGCAGAAUUCACCAAGUGUUGGACUGUUCACCCACCAAUAGGGAAUGUGAUCUGGGUUUAGACCGUCAUGAGACGGGUUAGUUUUACCCUACUUAUGACAAUGUAAGUUCACCUCACCCGAGUUAGCGUCUUAUUUUUCAAGUGUCGCUUGCAUUCCAUUCCAAAUAGUUAAGUACACGAUAUCAAGUGGCCUUUCACGAAAAACAACGGCAUCACAACUAGAAGUUUUCCAUGAUACGGAGUGCAGCUUAAGUGCUCAGCGACGCACGGAGAAUAACAUCGGUACAUGAAGGCAUAUCACAAUUAGAGGUUUUUGUGACCGUCGAGUGCAAUGCUAGAGACACAUCCAAUGACAAAUGCCGACGGACAUAUAGUGGCCUAC
rnacentral:rRNA from 1 species